UCGGGAACUCAAAGGAGACUGCCAGUGAUAAACUGGAGGAAGGUGGGGAUGACGUCAAGUCAUCAUGGCCCUUACGACCAGGGCUACACACGUGCUACAAUGGCGCAUACAAAGAGAAGCGACCUCGCGAGAGCAAGCGGACCUCAUAAAGUGCGUCGUAGUCCGGAUUGGAGUCUGCAACUCGACUCCAUGAAGUCGGAAUCGCUAGUAAUCGUGGAUCAGAAUGCCACGGUGAAUACGUUCCCGGGCCUUGUACACACCGCCCGUCACACCAUGGGAGUGGGUUGCAAAAGAAGUAGGUAGCUUAACCUUCGGGAGGGCGCUUACCACUUUGUGAUUCAUGACUGGGGUGAAGUCGUAACAAGGUAACCGUAGGGGAACCUGC
rnacentral:rRNA from 1 species